GGCCGGCUAGCUCAGUUGGUUAGAGCGUCGUGCUAAUAACGCGAAGGUCUUGGGUUCGAUCCCCACGUUGGCCA